rnacentral:rRNA from 1 species
AUUGAACGCUGGCGGCAGGCCUAACACAUGCAAGUCGAGCGAACGGCGGACGGGUGAGUAAGGUAUGGGGCUCUGCCCGGUAGAGGGGGAUAACUAAUGGAAACGGUGGCUAAUACCGCAUACUGUCGGAUGAACCCAUAUAGCAUUCGCUAGUAGGUGGGGUAAAGGCUCACCUAGGCGACGAUCUCUAGCUGGGCUGAGAGGAGGCUCAGCCACACUGGGACUGAGACACGGCCCAGACUCCUACGGGAGGCAGCAGUGGGGAAUAUUGCACAAUGGGCGAAAGCCUGAUGCAGCCAUGCCGCGUGUAUGAAGAAGGCCUUAGGGUUGUAAAGUACUUUCAGCGGGGAGGCGUUACCCGCAGAAGAAGCACCGGCUAACUCCGUGCCAGCAGCCGCGGUAAUUC